rnacentral:rRNA from 1 species
GCUAAGAGGAGGAAGGAAUGGGCAACGGUAGGUCAGCAUGCCCCGAAUUAUCUGGGCUACACGCGGGCUACAAUGGGUGGGACAAUGGGUAUCGACACCGAAAGGUGAAGGCAAUCUCCUAAACCCAUCCGUAGUUCCGGAUUGUGGGCUGCAACUCGCCCACAUGAAGCUGGAAUCUGUAGUAAUCGUGUCUCAAAAUGGCACGGUGAAUAUGUCCCUGCUCCUU